rnacentral:rRNA from 2 species
GGGCUCGCGGCCUAUCAGCUUGUUGGUGAGGUAAUGGCUCACCAAGGCGUCGACGGGUAGCCGGCCUGAGAGGGUGACCGGCCACACUGGGACUGAGACACGGCCCAGACUCCUACGGGAGGCAGCAGUGGGGAAUAUUGCACAAUGGGCGCAAGCCUGAUGCAGCAACGCCGCGUGAGGGAUGACGGCCUUCGGGUUGUAAACCUCUUUUAGCAGGGAAGAAGCGAAAGUGACGGUACCUGCAGAAAAAGCGCCGGCUAACUACGUGCCAGCAGCCGCGGUAAUACGUAGGGCGCAAGCGUUAUCCGGAAUUAUUGGGCGUAAAGAGCUCGUAGGCGGUUUGUCGCGUCUGCUGUGAAAUCCGGAGGCUCAACCUCCGGCCUGCAGUGGGUACGGGCAGACUAGAGUGCGGUAGGGGAGAUUGGAAUUCCUGGUGUAGCGGUGGAAUGCGCAGAUAUCAGGAGGAACACCGAUGGCGAAGGCAGAUCUCUGGGCCGUAACUGACGCUGAGGAGCGAAAGGGUGGGGAGCAAACAGGCUUAGAUACCCUGGUAGUCCACCCCGUAAACGUUGGGAACUAGUUGUGGGGUCCAUUC